GAUGAACGCUAGCUACAGGCUUAACACAUGCAAGUCGAGGGGUAGCAGGGUAGCAAUACCGCUGACGACCGGCGCACGGGUGAGUAACACGUAUCCAACCUUCCCAUAACUCUGGGAUAGCCUUUCGAAAGAAAGAUUAAUACCGGAUGGUACUUUUUCAAGGCAUCUCGAGAAAGUUAAAGAUUUAUUGGUUAUGGAUGGGGAUACGUUCCAUUAGACAGUUGGUGAGGUAACGGCUCACCAAGUCUUCGAUGGAUAGGGGUUCUGAGAGGAAGGUCCCCCACGUUGGUACUGAGACACGGACCAAACUCCUACGGGAGGCAGCAGUGAGGAAUAUUGGUCAAUGGGCGAGAGCCUGAACCAGCCAAGUAGCGUGAAGGAUGAAGGUCCUAUGGAUUGUAAACUUCUUUUAUAGUAGAAUAAAGUGAUCCACGUGUGGAUUUUUGUAUGUAUACUAUGAAUAAGGAUCGGCUAACUCCGUGCCAGCCGCCGCAGUAAAAC
rnacentral:rRNA from 1 species